rnacentral:rRNA from 1 species
GUGGGGAAUAUUGGACAAUGGGCGCAAGCCUGAUCCAGCCAUGCCGCGUGAGUGAUGAAGGCCUUAGGGUUGUAAAGCUCUUUUGUCCGGGAAGAUAAUGACUGUACCGGAAGAAUAAGCCCCGGCUAACUUCGUGCCAGCAGCCGCGGUAAUACGAAGGGGGCUAGCGUUGCUCGGAAUCACUGGGCGUAAAGGGCGCGUAGGCGGACUUUUAAGUCGGAGGUGAAAGCCCAGGGCUCAACCCUGGAAUUGCCUUCGAUACUGGAAGUCUUGAGUUCGGAAGAGGUUGGUGGAACUGCGAGUGUAGAGGUGAAAUUCGUAGAUAUUCGCAAGAACACCAGUGGCGAAGGCGGCCAACUGGUCCGAUACUGACGCUGAGGCGCGAAAGCGUGGGGAGCAAACAGGAUUAGAUACCCUGGUAGUCC